AUCGCGAGGUUUGGGGCGUGACAAUAUAGACUGUGAGCCCACGUUUAAUAAUCACGCUAAGGAGUUCAGCGAGCUAUCUGCAAAGGCCUGAUUAGUCUACCAGCUGUACAAGAAUGCGCAAGACUGUAAAGGUAUUCUUCUAGAACCUCCGAAGUGGCAGGCGGCCACGAGUUUUCACGGCGUUCAAUAAAUGCAGCGAAGCGCCCGUCUUGAAGAAGCCGUGCCUGUGUUGUCAUUUCGGAGUUACAAUUUUUAUGAUGUUGUUGCAAAGUAUGCGUCUGUAGAGCUAAAUCAUGAUGAUUGUUCCAAACUAAGAAAAUGAAACGAUGGACAGAAAAUUCAGCAGCAGCUACUAAAUCACCAAAGUGUUUCCAGCUGCCCUCCUGUGAUGGCUGCAGUUACAGCCACACAGUUGUAAAAACAGUGAAGAGUUGGUUAUGUUAGUUUCAGUCAGGUUUUGUGUGUUUUACCCCUUUUUGUGUUUUUGUGGGCUGAUCAGCCACGAUUUAUAUUCCCCUUUGUCUCUUAGUUAGGUCCGUUUGUUUGAGUUAUCAGCAUUGUUUGUUGUCAGCUUUGAGUAGAGUUCUGUUAUUGUGACCUAGUGAUGGCCAAAUGAAGCUUCCUGAAGCUUGUGUUGAAAAAGGGAUCAUUACUAGAAGCUUUAAAACACAGUCCUCUCUGGUGACAUCUGGUGGUCAAAAGUAUGAAGAGCAGCUUGAAUCUAUAAAAAAAAAAAGAAAAAAACAUAAACGAACUGCUUCACUAUGACUCUACAGAGUGGAGUUCUGUCUGAUAUUGGGCCUCCAUUGUGUUGCUUUGUAUUUUUGUUGUGUGUGAAAAAGAUUGUUGUUCAUUUGUUUAAUAAAUAAUUUUGAUCAAUAAACUUUCCUUGUUUAAACAU